UACGUAGGGUGCGAGCGUUAAUCGGAAUUACUGGGCGUAAAGCGUGCGCAGGCGGUUCUCCAAGUCCGUUGUGAAAGCCCCGGGCUCAACCUGGGAAUGGCAGUGGAAACUAGGGGACUUGAAUCUGGCAGAGGGGGGUGGAAUUCCACGUGUAGCAGUGAAAUGCGUAGAUAUCUGGAGGAACACCGGUGGCGAAGGCGGCAUCCUGGACCAACACUGACACUGAGGAGCGAAAGCCAGGGGAGCAAACGGG
rnacentral:rRNA from 1 species